UACGUAGGGUGCAAGCGUUAAUCGGAAUUACUGGGCGUAAAGCGUGCGCAGGCGGUUAUGCAAGACAGAUGUGAAAUCCCCAGGCUCAACUUGGGAACUGCAUCCGAUACUGGAUGGCUUGAAUUCGGGAGAGGGAUGCAGAAUUCCAGGUGUAGCGGUGAAAUGCGUAGAUAUCUGGAGGAAUACCGGUGGCGAAGGCGGCAUCCUGGACCGACAUUGACGCUGAGGAGCGAAAGCUAGGGGAGCAAACGGG
rnacentral:rRNA from 1 species